ACAGGUGCUGCAUGGCUGUCGUCAGCUCGUGUCGUGAGAUGUUCGGGUUAAGUCCCGCAACGAGCGCAACCCUUGUCAUUAGUUGCUACGAAAGGGCACUCUAAUGAGACUGCCGGUGACAAACCGGAGGAAGGUGGGGAUGACGUCAAGUCCUCAUGGCCCUUAUGGGUAGGGCUUCACACGUCAUACAAUGGUCGGGACAGAGGGUCGCCAACCCGCAGGGGGAGCCAAUCCCACAAACCCGAUCGUAGUCCGGAUUGCAGUCUGCAACUCGACUGCAUGAAGUCGGAAUCGCUAGUAAUCGCGGAUCAGCAUGUCGCGGUGAAUACGUUCCCGGGUCUU
rnacentral:rRNA from 1 species